UACAGAGGGGGCAAGCGUUAUUCGGAAUUAUUGGGCGUAAAGGGCGCGUAGGCGGCCUUGCAAGUGGCGGGUGAAAUCCCUCGGCUUAACCGAGGAACUGCCUGCCAGACUGCAAGGCUCGAGACCGGGAGAGGUGAGUGGAAUUCCCAGUGUAGCGGUGAAAUGCGUAGAUAUCGGGAGGAACACCAGUGGCGAAGGCGACUUCCUGGCCUGUUCUUGACGCUGAGGCGCGAAAGCUAGGGGAGCAAACGGG
rnacentral:rRNA from 1 species